rnacentral:rRNA from 1 species
UACGGAGGGGGCUAGCGUUGUUCGGAAUUACUGGGCGUAAAGCGCACGUAGGCGGCUUUCUAAGUCGGGGGUGAAAUCCUGGAGCUCAACUCCAGAACUGCCUUUGAUACUGAAGAUCUUGAGUUCGGGAGAGGUGAGUGGAACUGCGAGUGUAGAGGUGAAAUUCGUAGAUAUUCGCAAGAACACCAGUGGCGAAGGCGGCUCACUGGCCCGAUACUGACGCUGAGGCACGAAAGCGUGGGGAGCAAACGGG